rnacentral:lncRNA from 1 species
AUUUCAUAUCAUAAGGUCUUUUAAAAAUGAAUAAUAAUAAAAUAGCAUUUAUUUAGUACUUUAAGUUUUACAGAACACUUAUUACCUAUCUUCUUGUUCAAGAUAGUUGUUAUUGUUAUCCUCAUUUUACAGAUAAGGAAGCUAAAAGAGGCUAAGUAAAAUAAUUUCUGAUUCCAAAGCCAAAAGUGCUGUCCACUAUCCUCUCUAGACAACUAAUAACCCAUUUGGGAGGUUAUAAGGAGAAUAAGGGAAGGGAAGCAACAUUGCAUAGUUUUCAGCUUAGAAUACUGACAAAUUUUGCAGCAAAUAAUAAUGUCUGACAAUGAAAUGGGGCUGCCUCAUGAGGAAGUUGGGUAGAUAGGUGGUACAGUGAAUAGAGUGCCAUACUUGGAGUCAGGAAGACUCAUCAUCCUGUGUUCAAAUCUGACCCAAGAUACUAGCUAUGUGGCCCUAAGCAAAUCACUUAACCUUGUUUGCCUCAGUUUCUUAAUCUGUAAAAUGAAUUGGAGAAGGAAAUGGCAAAUCAUCCUGGCAUCUUUGCUAAGAAAAUCCUAAAUGGGAUCAUGACAACUGAAAUGGCUGAACAAUAGCAACAGCAAAAGGAAAAUAACCUACAAUUAGAAUUUUAAGAAGAAGCCAGAUGGUUGCUGAGGGAUUAGACAACAACAGUAACAGCAACAAUAAUAACAAUAAUUUAGCUAACAUUUAUAUGAUAGAUAUUUUCUCAUCUGUAAAAUGAACUGGAGAAAAAAUGUCAAACCAUUCUGGUAUCAAUGCCAAGAAAAUUCCCAAAUGGGGUCAUGACAACUGAAAUGACUAAACAAUAAUAACAACAAGAGGAGGAAACCUACCACUGGAAGAGUAUAAGAAGAAGCCAGAUGGUCAGUGAGGGAUUGGACAACAACAGUAACAGCAACAAUAACAACAAUAAUAGCUAACAUUUAUUUUCUCAUCUGUAAAAUGAGCUGGAGAAGGAAAUGGCAAGCCACUCCAGUGUCUUUGCCAAGGAAACUGCAAAUGAGGUCAUAAUGAGUUGGACAUCACUGAAACUACUGAACAAGAACAAGAACAACAUAUGGUACUUUAAGGAAAGUAACACUGGAUUGAGUAAGCUUCCUCUCACUGCCAUGGCACCAGGAAGCAUUGCACUUAUCCAUACACUAUGGUAGUGUAUAAGCAUCAGCAGUAUCACCAGCUCAUGGGAAUGGACAGACACAUGACCUAGGUGUUCAUAUGUGUUCAUUGUGGAAGACACCCCCUUGCCCACAAAGGCAGAUAACAAACUAUGUGUAUGGGACCCUGAAUGAGAAAUUGAUGAAACUCAAGCUCUGGGUCAGUAGUUGAGUACUAAAUGAUGUCUCAGGUAAAGGGAAGGGAGGAACUAAAAUGUAACAAGACAAGAUUUUUUAGGCUUCCACUACAAGGUGUCUUGAUCUUGUUCAUAGCUUCAUGCCUGUGGGCAGAUAAGUUUUAUGGGGAUGCUUUAAAAGAGUUUGGGGGCAGCUGGGUGGCUCAGGGGAUUGAGGAUCAGGCCUAGAGAUGGGAGGUCCUAGGUUCAAAUCUAUCCUCAGACACUUCCUAGCCUUGUGACCCCGGGAAAGUCGCUUAACCCCCAUUGCUUAGUCCUUACCAUUCUUCUGCCUUAGAAUCAGUUACACAGUAUUGAUUCUAAGAUUGAAGGUAAGGGUUUAAAAAAAGAGUAAGGAGACCUGAGAGUCAUAGAAUCUGAGCCAAAAGGGAUUUUAGAGAUUAGCUGACUGCAAUGGUAGCACAAUAGUGGGAAGAAAAUGGAAUUUUGAGUUGGUAAGACCUGGGUUCCAAUUCUGGCUGUGUUAACUAUUAGUUGUGGGGCCAUUGAUAAAUUAUCUAUUCUCUCUGGGUCUUGCUUUAUUAUCUAUGAAAUGAAGUGGGUGGACUAUUUUACAUUUUAGCUUUUAAACUAUGAUCCAGUCCAACUCUUCUAUAAUAUAAACACG